ACGAGACUAGAGGGCGACUUUUAGUUUAGUGGCGAAAGGGUUAGUAAUACAUGAAUAACUUACCCUUUACCUGGGGAUAACGACUGGAAACAGGCGCUGAUACCGAAUGAGGUACCGAUAAGUAAUUAUUGGCUAUCAAAGUGGGGGACCUUGUAAAGAGGCCUUGCGGUAAAGGAUAGGUUCAUGGGAUAUCAGUUAGUUGGUGUGGUAAAGGCGCACCAAGA
rnacentral:rRNA from 1 species